GGGGCACGCUUAGAGCCCCACGCACAGCAGUGUUAAUAGCGGCGCCUUUGGCCGGACGUCGUGGUUAGUGAAUC
rnacentral:ncRNA from 1 species